rnacentral:rRNA from 1 species
GCUGGCGGCGUGCUUAACACAUGCAAGUCGAACGGAAAGUGCUCAGCUUGCUGGGUGACUCGAGUGGCGAACGGGUGAGUAACACGUGGGUGAUCUGCCCUGCACUUUGGGAUAAGCCUGGGAAACUGGGUCUAAUACCGAAUACACCCUGCUGGUCGCAUGGCCUGGUGGGGGAAAGCUUUUGCGGUGUGGGAUGGGCCCGCGGCCUAUCAGCUUGUUGGUGGGGUGAUGGCCUACCAAGGCGACGACGGGUAGCCGGCCUGAGAGGGUGUCCGGCCACACUGGGACUGAGAUACGGCCCAGACUCCUACGGGAGGCAGCAGUGGGGAAUAUUGCACAAUGGGCGCAAGCCUGAUGCAGCGACGCCGCGUGAGGGAUGACGGCCUGCGGGUUGUAAACCUCUUUCAAUAGGGACGAAGCGUAAGUGACGGUACCUAUAGAAGAAGCACCGGCCAACUACGUGCCAGCAGCCCGCGGUAAUACGUAGGGUGCGAGCGUUGUCCGGAAUUACUGGGCGUAAAGAGCUCGUAGGUGGUUUGUCGCGUUGUUCGUGAAAACUCACAACUCAAUUGUGGGCGUGCGGGCGAUACGGGCAGACUGGAGUACUGCAGGGGAGACUGGGAAUUCCUGGUGUA